rnacentral:lncRNA from 1 species
CGGGAAGUCCAAACUCCUAUUAGGAUGAGCGACAAAGGUCAUUUUGUUGUUAUUGAUGUGGAAGUCGUUGACAGCGUGGGUAAUCGCCACCACCAAAGGAAAUGGAAUAGCAAAAGAAAGAACGAAAAUACACACACAAGCAAAUACGCAACCAGAAAAAAGGUCGGUGGCAUACAAGAUUAAAUCUGAAAAUUCAUUUUCAUUCAGUAAACUCUCUAACUUCAGAAAACAGACAAAGACAUCAGCGAGAAAACGAAGUCAUAUGAAGCAUAACCUUUGCCGGCUGCAGAAGUCGCACCUGGUUUUUCCGGGCUGGAGGAGGCCCGCCUCCCCGCGUCCUUCAAAGCCGCAGGCCUGGCUGCUGCAAGGGCCCAGGGAUCUUCCUCUUGCACCACAAAUGCCAUCACUCCCAUCGCUAAAGGGAGCGAACUGA